GGCGUCCUUCGGGCGUCCGAGUUGUAAUCUAUAGAAGUGUUUUCCGUGCCGGACCAUGUCCAAGUCCCUUGGAACAGGGUAUCAAAGAGGGUGACAAUCCCGUACUUGACAUGACCACCGGUGCUCUGUGAUACACUUUCUACGAGUCGAGUUGUUUGGGAAUGCAGCUCAAAAUGGGUGGUAAAUUCCAUCUAAAGCUAAAUAUUGGCGAGAGACCGAUAGCGAACAAGUACCGUGAGGGAAAGAUGAAAAGCACUUUGGAAAGAGAGUUAAACAGUACGUGAAAUUGUUGAAAGGGAAACGAUUGAAGUCAGUCGUGUUCUUUGGACUCAGCCGGUUCUUCCGGUCUAUUUCCUUUGAACGGGUCAACAUCAGUUUUGUCCGGUGGAUAAAGGCAGGAAGAAAGUGGCUCCCUCGGGAGUGUUAUAGCUUUCUGUCACAUACACUGGAGGAGACUGAGGACUGCAGCUCGCCUUUUGGCCGGGGUUCGCCCACGUUCGAGCUUAGGAUG
rnacentral:rRNA from 1 species